AUCUUCGGUCACAUUUUACCUUCGUGAGUCUGCCUCCGAGGAGUGCCACUGAUGUUAGAGAAUUCAGCAUCACACUAGAACUGACAUCUCAGGUCUUGAAUCUAACAGUGGUGCAUUUGAGGCAGCAAUUCUGCUUCCUACAGCCAAUGUGCUGCGUGAGCUUUGGCUGCAUGAGGUCCUCGCAGCCCAGACCCACCAUUCAGAAAUCCAUCAGGUUUCCAAAUCAAGGUCCCUUGGGUCUAGAGGAUUCUCCUGACUGAUCUCUGAGAUAAUCUGCAAUUGGAAUGAAAUAAAUGGUAGGACAUAGAAAACAACACAUUUUAAUUAAUAAGAUCACUUUGAGCAGAGACUUCAGAAUACAUUUAGUGCUCAGCCCCACCCCUAAUCCUUGUAGUUUAUACAGGGUACUAAGGAGCCAUUUCCCAUUUGUGUUCUAGGUUUUUGUCAAAGCUGCUCAUGGAGUUUAGCCUCCUCUAAAUAUUAGUUUCUGUGAUUCUGGUUUGUGUCGUUCUGACAGCUUUGAAUUGAAUCACUUGAUAAAAACACAGAACCAAUUAAAUCUUUUGAUAUAGCAAAGUAGACCAUAAUCUUUCUUGGAUCAAAACCUGAGUGUAUACAGAACUCCCAAUGACUCAGAGUCAAUAUGAGAGAGAGAGAGAGAGAGAGAGAGAGAGAGAGAGAGAGAGAGAGAGGAAGAGAGGAAGAGAGGAAGAGAGGAAGAGAGAACAAUCCCUGUAUGGAGAGCAUUAUUUUCUGAAGCAAAAUUCAGAUCACAUCUGCAGAUAACGGAGUUUAAAGCAGUAUAACACAUUAUGGAAAGGUAGGGCCUGUAAGUCCGAUAGAUACAUGAUACCCAUCAGAAGAUACCAUUAGCAUCUCCCCCAAAAGCCCUGGAAGGGAAAAUUCACACUUUCGAAUUUAGUUCUAAAUCUGAUCAUGCAUGCUGGCCAGUACUCAAGUAUAAGAAAGCAUAGGUGCUUGCAAAGUUGCUAUGUCAUCAGGCUACCAGCACCCAUUGGUAAUAGUAAUUGGAAGAACAGGGCAAGUCUGGAUAAGGUGCUGUGUCGUCAUGUGUUGCUCUUCACUAUACAACAUUAGUCUAUGCUAUUUCUGGAAGGAGGGUACAGAGUAGCCUUUAUUCAGAAAUGGCAUGUGAAAGUAUUUUGAGUUUACAACAGAAAAUUCAAAAUGUAAGUCCACACUACAUUAAUCAGAAUAUUAUAUCUAAACAAAUUGAUUGGUGUUCAAACAAACAAGCCGCAAAUGAAAACCCAACCCCUAUCUGUGUGCAGAGAGGAAAACUUUGACUUGUUUGCCAAAAUGGAUUCAGCCGUGGGCACAUCAACCCCAGUGACAUAGGUGUUUCUUGGACCUGUUUUAGCCAGCACUGGAUGCAGAAACCCUUGAGUAGGGAGACGUGGGUAAGUUAUUUGCCCUUGCUUGUUGUAGGUGCCAGCCUGCUUUUCACAGUCUUUCCUAAACUCUAACCAAUCUCUUGAUUUUGCUGGGAAACCUCUAAAUUCGAGUGUGAUAAUGUAGAUUGAAGUAGCAUUGAAAAGAAGAAGGAAAAAAGAAAGCCUUUUGAAGGUGCUCUGCAACCACUUCAACAAUCUAAGGAAAACUUACUUUCACUCAAGAGUCACACUCAAAAAGGCAGAGGCCCCACCUUUACAGAAUAUCAGCUCUCUAAGUGACUUUUGCACUGGGGUGCAGAAGGAACAGACAUUUCCGUCUUACGCAACAGCCUUUAAUUGGUUAAGAUUAAGAGCUGGCCUCUCCAAGAAUCCUCAACUGUCUUUCGUUUCCUGAUGUAGUUAGAGGAACUCAUGGAGCAGAAAUAGAGUAUAGAGCUGAGCGCUUUAUCUAAGCAUCUCAUCUUCACUAGUAAGUGUCUAGAAAAUUCCCAAAGAAGUUUCCAACUCUAAAUAUUUGUUUUGUUUUCUUCCAUGGCUUAAUGCCAAAGACGGUUAUAGGCUGGAUUAACUUUGGCCAUGGGGAAAGUAGCAGCACUGGAGAUAGAAAACAUGUGAGCUCCUAGCCCUGCUAAUGAACUGGCCCUAGCACUUGCUGGGCUGUGCGUGCUUGCCCUGACAGGAGAGGGAAAAGGGCUGAAAAGGAAGGAAGCAGGCACAGCAGGAAGAACAAACCAGAGCCUUCCCAAAAUAGAGUUCACCUUUGACCGGCUCUUCAAGUUUCCUGCUUUGAGUCCAUGUUCCGGUGCACCAGAGGACGCGUGUCCAAGCCCAUUUAAGCCUGUCCUUGCCCAUAAGCUCUAAUCUUUUUCUGAAUUUGAUGUCCUUGUCCUUUGUAGAUGUCAGAUACACCCGAGUCAACACCAUUUGUUCUUUCGUUUGCUAGAAGAUUCUUUCUACUUUUAGCCAAGAGUCAAAUCAUUACUGAAGUCUCGUCGUCAGUUGAUUUCAUGGAGGUGGUCUUCUAGGACACAGGACUGAACAGGAGCCUUCUGAAAAACAGAUUGGUUAUAGUCCAUGUUUCAACCAACCAGUAUCUCCAACUUUAGAUUGCAAGCCAUUUUAAUUUAUGUUUCUUCCGUUAAAGAAUCCCACCAGCCAUGCCAGGAUAUAGGCAUGACUAUUUUUCUGUUCACCUUUGCCCAAGUAAUUUUUUGUAAUAAUAAGAUCUCAAUUUUUUGCCCAAAUGAUUGUUUGUAUGUUAAAUACUAUUUUGUCUUAUUGUAUGCCUUCAAUAGGUGUAAUAACUCCAAAAUCCAAAAUAAUACCAAAAUAGGUUAAUUUUGGUGGUCUAAGGUAAAUGGUUAUGAGAAGAAAUAGCUUUUGCACAUACUUCAAGUGUAUUUUUGUUUUUAUUAGGGUUGGUUUCAGACAUUCCUUGCAUUUUUUGGAAAUCUUUUGAUUUGCUCCUGCUUUAAUGUGUCAUGUAAAACUCUCUACCUUUUACUGAGGCAUAUUAACCACUGGGGAAAAAAUUUAAAACAGUAGAAAUAGUUGAAGCCAGUUUUAAAGACCUGAAAGCUAAAGUAAAACUUUCAGGUUAUAAACCUCUUAUUUUCAGAUAUGUAUAGUGCUAAUAGACCAAUAAAAGGUAGCAUUCAUUGUUUAUUGGACACCGCCAUUCCAAUGGUUUUAGACAACCAACUCAUUCUUUUAUUAUAUUUCCUGUAGGGGAAAAUUAGUAUUAUGGAAUACUUCUAUACUAAUCAAUAUUCAACGUUUGUUUUGAGACUAAGUUGAGAUGAAGUUAAUUGUAUGUGUUCUCCUAUUACCAUAGUUGAGGAAUAUUAUUGGUAGUCUAGUGUUCUGUGUUUGUGGUCCCCUUCAAAAUAAGGGCACAAGGAAUGAUGAAAAACCAACAUCACAGUGCCUAGACAGAUAGUUUAGACAUUAAGAACAGGUACAAUUGUUGCAGGGGACCUGGGUUUGCUUCCCAUCACCUGCUGAGUAGCUCAUGUCAUUCACAUGCGUAUACACUCACACAGACACACAGAUAAUCAAAAAGAAGUCUUUAGAAUAUCACAGAAAACAAUCAUUGUGUUAUUUAAAGUGAGUAUUCUGUUUGUUAAAGACAACACAGAUUGAUUAUAUACAGUGAUACUGUGCAAGGUAUUAGGUACCAACUUUCAGACUUUCAGUGGGAGGCAGAGGAGGCUCCAAUGUGAUGGUUUAAUAGAGCAUGUUUACAUAAUUUAUCUGCCAUCUAGUAUAUAUCUGUAUAUCAUCUCUCUAUCAUCUAUUUAUGUGUAUGUUUAAAUAUUUCAAUUAUCCACGUUAAAUUCUAGUGUCAUUUCCCUUUUUUGCAGAGGAAGAAACUGAGGCAGAAACAGUCAAGGAUAUUAUAAAAGCUCUCAUAAAUUAGUCAUUGGUAGGACUUCAAUUUUAUUCAGACCUAUUGGACGAUAGAUCCAAAGUUUCCCUCACUGUAGUAGGAAAGUAAGAGUUAGUACCC
rnacentral:lncRNA from 1 species